UCAACGUCAAAUCCUUCAAUGCACGCUCUUCAUAGGUGGCAUCUUGGAUUAUUUUUUCAUGUGUUACUUCAAUAUGAGAUUGACGCAAACCAAAAUUUAGGGAGACAAGCUCAAGAUAGGGAGUGGGACAACGAAGCGAAAUGAGUUGCCAACAAUGUGGAAACGGUUGCGCUUUGUUUGGUUUUGGAGGCAUUGCACGAUGUUGAAGAGAAUGGGGUAUAGAAGAUUGCACCAGUUGGCUUUGCACGAUUGGCGGCCAAUGAUGGAUGAUAAUUUAAAAAUUGAAAAAAAAAAAAAAAAAAACUGAAACACUGAAAACACCCACCCAAGAGAUUAGAAUUACCGUACCGAGGAAAAAGAAAGGGGAAUGACAAGUUUUCUUUCUUCUUCUUUGUUUUUUUUUCUUCGGUGGUGGUGUGAACGGAAUCACAAAGUUGAAGGUAUGAGAUUUACAGCUAGUGUGGGUGUAUUGAAAAGUUGGCAAAUAUGAUAUGAAUGAAUCCUUUAAUUUAAACUC